rnacentral:rRNA from 1 species
GACGAGCCUCACAAACGUUAUUCGGAAUUACUGGGCGUAAAGCGCGCGUAGGCGGCUUUGCAAGUCGGGUGUGAAAUCCCCAGGCUUAACCUGGGAACUGCAUUCGAGACUGCAUUGCUAGAGUAUGGGAGAGGGAAGUGGAAUUUCCGGUGUAGCGGUGAAAUGCGUAGAUAUCGGAAGGAACAUCAGUGGCGAAAGCGACUUCCUGGACCAAUACUGAAGCUCAUGUGCGAAAGCGUGGGGAGCAAACAGG